rnacentral:lncRNA from 1 species
AACAGGCAUGAAUGAGUCCAGUCUUUGAAGAACUGGGAAGAUGGCUUUAGGAUGUGUCCAUUAAGUAUCUGAAACACAGAAACACCCGAGAGCUGCCCCUUCCCUUCCCAGAGAUCCAUGAAGAGCUGAACCUAGAAUACUGAUGCCACUGUUUGUCCCCUAAGAUCGAUUAGCAUCUGGAUGGACAGGAACCAAGACAACCACCUUAGUUCAGGUUUCAGUUGCUGUAACAAAACAGCAGAGGCCAAGGACUUUACACACAAGGGUGACUAAAAGUCCAAGACUAAACAACCCCAUGUGUUUGGACUCUGGUAAGGAUCUCCCAUCUACUUCUCAACAUGGCGAAUGACAUCAUGAUGGAUGUGCAGAUGAGGAAAGAGAGGUCACAUGAUGAAACUGGAAACAAGAGAGUAUGUGGAAGGUCACAUCCAGUCUUUUACAGCAACCUCGUAUCUCAAAAGGCUACCCUGGAACUCAGAGAUCUGCUUGCCUGGGAUUAAACACAUGAACCACCCUGCCUGGGACGAAGCUUUGCAUGGCCACUAUUCCUCAAGAUCCUCAUCAAAAGCCUGUGUCUUCCAGCCUCGAGAUCUGGAUCCAUAGUUGUGCCCUCCAUUUCUGGAUUUUAGUUCAUUCCAGAUUAAAAGUCCAAAUGAAAACAAUAACCAGGUAAUAGUAACACCUAUGUAUAACCCUACCCAAGGACAUUUGACUGGGGUGGAGAUGAGAGCAGAGCGAGUGGGAUCUCUGUAAGAGAAACUGUGUCCCUGCAAUCCACACUAAAGUCAGAGCAGUGGAACUCAUGCUUCCCCAGCCCUCAUCCCACAACCAGUCCUGAUCCCAUCUGGCCACAGAACUCUUCAAAUGUCCCCAAGAAAGCCCAGAGAAGCCACAGUCUGAACUUUGUGUGUUCACUCUGCUAUCUUAUCUGUGUCACUUAGCACCUUCUAGAAAAUAAGGGUCUGUUGGGGCUUGGGGUUUGUGUACAACGAUGAGUUGUCAUGAAUGUUGUUUAUAGGAACAUGGGCAGCUUGCCAGUGAAGAAAACGUCCCUUCUUCUCACAACAACCAUUAACUUCUGAGAGAUCUUCAGGGAUGGGGGGCUUUGCGGGGUGGAAAGCUGAUGGACCCAGCCUUCUGCAGGUCUUCUGCAGAUAAUCAUAGAUGCUGGGGAUCCAAGAUUACGACAGUGAUAUCAUGUCCUGAUGUUGAACUCCAUGGCACUCUACCGCUCCCUUAGGCCCUUACAUUCCUCCCAUUUCUUCACUAGUAUACCCCGAGCCUGGAAGAGGUCACUAUAAAUGUCCCCUUUAGGGUUGAGCAUUCAUCAGUUAUAAGCCUGCAGCAACCACGGCCUGCUUUAUAAAGCAUCUUCUCAGACCAAGGGGACACUCCCACAGAAACGAUGGUUCCAGCCAGAGGUGCUGAGAACCCACCCGGAACCUGCUUCUCAACAGCCGGCUUCAACAUAAGCCACACUCCCCAUUAAGCCCUGCUUUGAGAGAGGAAGCAUCAUAACUGAACACAACUCACAUGGCCUGUCAUAGUAUGUCUGCCAUGGACCAUGACACGGAAUUCAACUAGUGUGGACACUGAGGGACUCCUUGAGGAAGCAUCAUCUCUACAGUGACCUAGAGGAUGAACAGGUGUGACAUAAAGUGACAUGAAUUAGAUCUAAAGCCAAAUGACACUGAUGUUUGUGUGUGAAAAUCCCAUAAUGAACCCCAUUACUAUGUAUGGUAGCCU